GGAAGCACUGGUGACCCCAGGCUCAAGGAACAGUUCCAGACUGAGCAGGAAGCCGAGAUACAGCCUUCAGAAAGCUUUGGCGGCGGCACGGAGCACCC